rnacentral:rRNA from 1 species
AAAUGAAUUGACGGGGGCCCGCACAAGCGGUGGAGCAUGUGGUUUAAUUCGACGCUACGCGAAGAACCUUACCAGGGCUUGACAUCCCCUGACCGCCAUGGAAACAUGGUUUUUCACCUUCGGGUGAACAGGGAGACAGGUGGUGCAUGGUUGUCGUCAGCUCGUGUCGUGAGAUGUUGGGUUAAGUCCCGCAACGAGCGCAACCCUUACGGUUAGUUGCCAGCGGUUCAAGCCGGGCACUCUAGCUGAACUGCCGUUGACAAAACGGAGGAAGGUGGGGAUGACGUCAAAUCAUCAUGCCCUUUAUGCCCUGGGCUACACACGUGCUACAAUGGCCGGUACAAAGGGAAGCGAACCCGCGAGGGGGAGCAAAUCCCAAAAAGCCGGUCUCAGUUCGGAUUGCAGGCUGCAACCCGCCUGCAUGAAGUCGGAAUCGCUAGUAAUCGCAGGUCAGCAUACUGCGGUGAAUACGUUCCCGGGCCUUGUACACACCGCCCGU